rnacentral:rRNA from 1 species
GUGGGGAAUCUUAGACAAUGGGCGCAAGCCUGAUCUAGCCAUGCCGCGUGAGCGAUGAAGGCCUUAGGGUUGUAAAGCUCUUUCGCUGGGGAAGAUAAUGACUGUACCCAGUAAAGAAGCCCCGGCUAACUCCGUGCCAGCAGCCGCGGUAAUACGGAGGGGGCUAGCGUUGUUCGGAAUUACUGGGCGUAAAGCGCACGUAGGCGGACCGGAAAGUCAGAGGUGAAAUCCCAGGGCUCAACCUUGGAACUGCCUUUGAAACUCCUGGUCUUGAGGUCGAGAGAGGUGAGUGGAAUUCCGAGUGUAGAGGUGAAAUUCGUAGAUAUUCGGAGGAACACCAGUGGCGAAGGCGGCUCACUGGCUCGAUACUGACGCUGAGGUGCGAAAGCGUGGGGAGCAAACAGGAUUAGAUACCCCGGUAGUCC